UGGGGUGUAGCUCAGUGGCAGAGCUCUUGCCUUGCACGCAAGAAGCCCAUGAUUCCAUCCCCAGCACUUCCA
rnacentral:tRNA from 1 species